rnacentral:rRNA from 1 species
UGGGGAAUAUUGCACAAUGGGCGCAAGCCUGAUGCAGCCAUGCCGCGUGUAUGAAGAAGGCCUUCGGGUUGUAAAGUACUUUCAGCGGGGAGGAAGGGAGUAAAGUUAAUACCUUUGCUCAUUGACGUUACCCGCAGAAGAAGCACCGGCUAACUCCGUGCCAGCAGCCGCGGUAAUACGGAGGGUGCAAGCGUUAAUCGGAAUUACUGGGCGUAAAGCGCACGCAGGCGGUUUGUUAAGUCAGAUGUGAAAUCCCCGGGCUCAACCUGGGAACUGCAUCUGAUACUGGCAAGCUUGAGUCUCGUAGAGGGGGGUAGAAUUCCAGGUGUAGCGGUGAAAUGCGUAGAGAUCUGGAGGAAUACCGGUGGCGAAGGCGGCCCCCUGGACGAAGACUGACGCUCAGGUGCGAAAGCGUGGGGAGCAAACAGGAUU